rnacentral:tRNA from 1 species
AUGAAAGGUGUUAAACUGUAAAUUUAAUUAAGAGUAUAAGGCUCCUUUUCUUA